UCCCAAAGUGCAAAGCAGAAGUCUAGGGU
rnacentral:piRNA from 1 species